rnacentral:rRNA from 1 species
GACGAACUUUGGCGGCGUGCUUAACACAUGCAAGUCGAACGGAAAGGCCCUGCUUUUGUGGGGUGCUCGAGUGGCGAACGGGUGAGUAACACGUGAGUAACCUGCCCUUGACUUUGGGAUAACUUCAGGAAACUGGGGCUAAUACCGGAUAGGAGCUCCUGCUGCAUGGUGGGGGUUGGAAAGUUUCGGCGGUUGGGGAUGGACUCGCGGCUUAUCAGCUUGUUGGUGGGGUAGUGGCUUACCAAGGCUUUGACGGGUAGCCGGCCUGAGAGGGUGACCGGCCACAUUGGGACUGAGAUACGGCCCAGACUCCUACGGGAGGCAGCAGUGGGGAAUAUUGCACAAUGGGCGGAAGCCUGAUGCAGCAGCGCCGCGUGCGGGAUGACGGCCUUCGGGUUGUAAACCGCUUUCGCCUGUGACGAAGCGUGAGUGACGGUAAUGGGUAAAGAAGCACCGGCUAACUACGUGCCAGCAGCCGCGGUGAUACGUAGGGUGCGAGCGUUGUCCGGAUUUAUUGGGCGUAAAGGGCUCGUAGGUGGUUGAUCGCGUCGGAAGUGUAAUCUUGGGGCUUAACCCUGAGCGUGCUUUCGAUACGGGUUGACUUGAGGAAGGUAGGGGAGAAUGGAAUUCCUGGUGGAGCGGUGGAAUGCGCAGAUAUCAGGAGGAACACCAGUGGCGAAGGCGGUUCUCUGGGCCUUUCCUGACGCUGAGGAGCGAAAGCGUGGGGAGCGAACAGGCUUAGAUACCCUGGUAGUCCACGCUGUAAACGGUGGGUACUAGGUGUGGGGUCCAUUCCACGGGUUCCGUGCCGUAGCUAACGCUUUAAGUACCCCGCCUGGGGAGUACGGCCGCAAGGCUAAAACUCAAAGGAAUUGACGGGGCCCCGCACAAGCGGCGGAGCAUGCGGAUUAAUUCGAUGCAACGCGUAGAACCUUACCUGGGUUUGACAUGGAUCGGGAGUGCUCAGAGAUGGGUGUGCCUCUUUUGGGGUCGGUUCACAGGUGGUGCAUGCCUGUCGUCAGCUCGUGUCGUGAGAUGUUGGGUUAAGUCCCGCAACGAGCGCAACCCUUGUUCACUGUUGCCAGCACGUUAUGGUGGGGACUCAGUGGAGACCGCCGGGGUCAACUCGGAGGAAGGUGGGGAUGACGCCAAGUCCUCAUGCCCCUUAUGUCCAGGGCUUCACGCAUGCUACAAUGGCUGGUACAGAGAGUGGCGAGCCUGUGAGGGUGAGCGAAUCUCGGAAAGCCGGUCUCAGUUCGGAUUGGGGUCUGCAACUCGACCUCAUGAAGUCGGAGUCGCUAGUAAUCGCAGAUCAGCAACGCUGCGGUGAAUACGUUCCCGGGGCU